rnacentral:rRNA from 1 species
GGGCCCGCACAAGCGGUGGAGCAUGUGGUUUAAUUCGAUGAUACGCGAGGAACCUUACCAGGGCUUAAAUGUAAGUUGCAUAGAUCAGAGAUGGUCUUUUCUUCGGACUACUUACAAGGUGCUGCAUGGUUGUCGUCAGCUCGUGCCGUGAGGUGUCAGGUUAAGUCCUAUAACGAGCGCAACCCCUGUCGUUAGUUGCCAGCAAGUUAAGUUGGGCACUCUAGCGAGACUGCCGGUGCAAACCGCGAGGAAGGUGGGGAUGACGUCAAAUCAUCACGGCCCUUACGUCCUGGGCUACACACGUGCUACAAUGGCCGGUACAGAGAGCAGCCACUACGCGAGUAGGAG